UCCGUUCCUUCCGAGAGGCCGUGAAGUCGGUCUGGUGAGUAGGUCGCUGCUAAAGAAAAAAGUCAGUGGAGGCUUCCAUAGUUCCUAACUGGAGCUGGGCGGGAACUGACGUUAGAGUGCUGCCACUCUCUAAAAAAAGUAUCCUGAGCGAGGAAAGACUUGUUACACAUCUAAAAGUUAAAAGUCCAGCUCUGGCUUCUCUGAACUCUGUUUUUCUAGUAGAGGAAACCUGAGGAGCACUGGCACUUCUAAAACCAUGGCACAGGUAAGUUGAUAUCUCUCUUUUUCCAGAAAUACUAUGAUUUUUAAUUCAUGUAAUGUUUAAAUGCUUUGUUCUGAAAUCUACCAAAGAAAGCCAUAUCUCUGAACCUACUUUGCAGUUCUGCCCAUUACACCAAAUAAUGCUGUCCUCAUUUGCCCCCUUUUUCUCAAACUUACUUA